rnacentral:rRNA from 1 species
UGGGGAAUUUUGGACAAUGGGGGCAACCCUGAUCCAGCCAUGCCGCGUGAGUGAAGAAGGCCUUCGGGUUGUAAAGCUCUUUCGGCCGGGAAGAAAUCGGUGGAUCUAAUAAAUCCACUGGAUGACGGUACCGGACUAAGAAGCACCGGCUAACUACGUGCCAGCAGCCGCGGUAAUACGUAGGGUGCGCGCGUUAAUCGGAAUUACUGGGCGUAAAGCGUGCGCAGGCGGUUGUGUAAGACAGGUGUGAAAUCCCCGGGCUCAACCUGGGAACUGCGCUUGUGACUGCACGGCUAGAGUACGGCAGAGGGGGGUGGAAUUCCUGGUGUAGCAGUGAAAUGCGUAGAUAUCAGGAGGAACAUCGAUGGCGAAGGCAGCCCCCUGGGCCGAUACUGACGCUCAUGCACGAAAGCGUGGGGAGCAAA